rnacentral:rRNA from 1 species
UACGUAGGGUGCAAGCGUUGUCCGGAAUUAUUGGGCGUAAAGAGCUCGUAGGCGGUUUGUUGCGUCGGCUGUGAAAUCCCGAGGCUCAACCUCGGGUCUGCAGUCGAUACGAGCAAACUAGAGUGUUGCAGGGGAGACUGGAAUUCCCGGUGUAGCGGUGAAAUGCGUAGAUAUCGGGAGGAACAUCAGUGGCGAAGGCGGCUGCCUGGCCCAAUACUGACACUCAGGUGCGACAGCGUGGGGAGCAAACAGG